AACGAACGCUGGCGGCAGGCUUAACACAUGCAAGUCGAACGCCCCGCAAGGGGAGUGGCAGACGGGCGAGUAACGCGUGGGAAUCUACCCAGAUCUUCGGAACAACUGAGGGAAACUUCAGCUAAUACCGGAUACGCCCUACGGGGGAAAGAUUUAUCGGUUCUGGAUGAGCCCGCGUUGGAUUAGCUAGUUGGUGAGGUAACGGCUCACCAAGGCGACGAUCCAUAGCUGGUCUGAGAGGAUGAUCAGCAACACUGGGACUGAGACACGGCCCAGACUCCUACGGGAGGCAGCAGUGGGGAAUGUUGGACAAUGGGCGAAAGCCUGAUCCAGCCAUGCCGCGUGAGGGAUGAAGGCCUUAGGGUUGUAAAGCUCUUUCAGUAGGGAAGAUAAUGACGGUACCUACAGAAGAAGCCCCGGCUAACUUCGUGCCAGCCGCCGCGGUAACAC
rnacentral:rRNA from 1 species